GACGAACGCUUGCGGCGUGCUUAACACAUGCAAGUCGAACGGAAAGGCCCUGCUUUUGUGGGGUGCUCGAGUGGCGAACGGGUGAGUAACACGUGAGUAACCUGCCCUUGACUUUGGGAUAACUUCAGGAAACUGGGGCUAAUACCGGAUAGGAGCUCCUGCUGCAUGGUGGGGGUUGGAAAGUUUCGGCGGUUGGGGAUGGACUCGCGGCUUAUCAGCUUGUUGGUGGGGUAGUGGCUUACCAAGGCUUUGACGGGUAGCCGGCCUGAGAGGGUGACCGGCCACAUUGGGACUGAGAUACGGCCCAGACUCCUACGGGAGGCAGCAGUGGGGAAUAUUGCACAAUGGGCGGAAGCCUGAUGCAGCAACGCCGCGUGCGGGAUGACGGCUUUCGGGUUGUAAACCGCUUUCGCCUGUGACGAAGCGUGAGUGACGGUAAUGGGUAAAGAAGCACCGGCUAACUACGUGCCAGCAGCCGCGGUGAUACGUAGGGUGCGAGCGUUGUCCGGAUUUAUUGGGCGUAAAGGGCUCGUAGGUGGUUGAUCGCGUCGGAAGUGUAAUCUUGGGGCUUAACCCUGAGCGUGCUUUCGAUACGGGUUGACUUGAGGAAGGUAGGGGAGAAUGGAAUUCCUGGUGGAGCGGUGGAAUGCGCAGAUAUCAGGAGGAACACCAGUGGCGAAGGCGGUUCUCUGGGCCUUUCCUGACGCUGAGGAGCGAAAGCGUGGGGAGCGAACAGGCUUAGAUACCCUGGUAGUCCAUGCUGUAAACGGUGGGUACUAGGUGUGGGGUCCAUUCCACGGGUUCCGUGCCGUAGCUAACGCUUUAAGUACCCCGCCUGGGGAGUACGGCCGCAAGGCUAAAACUCAAAGGAAUUGACGGGGCCCCGCACAAGCGGCGGAGCAUGCGGAUUAAUUCGAUGCAACGCGUAGAACCUUACCUGGGUUUGACAUGGAUCGGGAGUGCUCAGAGAUGGGUGUGCCUCUUUUGGGGUCGGUUCACAGGUGGUGCAUGGCUGUCGUCAGCUCGUGUCGUGAGAUGUUGGGUUAAGUCCCGCAACGAGCGCAACCCUUGUUCACUGUUGCCAGCACGUUAUGGUGGGGACUCAGUGGAGACCGCCGGGGUCAACUCGGAGGAAGGUGGGGAUGACGUCAAGUCAUCAUGCCCCUUAUGUCCAGGGCUUCACGCAUGCUACAAUGGCUGGUACAGAGAGUGGCGAGCCUGUGAGGGUGAGCGAAUCUCGGAAAGCCGGUCUCAGUUCGGAUUGGGGUCUGCAACUCGACCUCAUGAAGUCGGAGUCGCUAGUAAUCGCAGAUCAGCAACGCUGCGGUGAAUACGUUCCCGGGGCU
rnacentral:rRNA from 1 species